rnacentral:rRNA from 1 species
CUACGGGAGGCUCCAGUGGGGAAUUUUGCGCAAUGGGAGAAACCCUGACGCAGCAAUACCGCGUGAGUGAAGAAGGCCUUUGGGUCGUAAAGCUCUUUUCUUGGGGAAGAUAGUGACGGUACCCAAGGAAUAAGCACCGGCUAACUCCGUGCCAGCAGCCGCGGUAAUACGGAGGGUGCAAGCGUUGUUCGGAUUUACUGGGCGUAAAGGGCACGUAGGCGGCACAGCAAGUUACGGGUGAAAUCCCGGGGCUCAACUCCGGAACUGCUCUUAAAACUGCUGAGCUAGAGAUAGUCAGAGGCGGGUGGAAUUCCAGGUGUAGAGGUGAAAUUCGUAGAUAUCUGGAGGAACACCGGUGGCGAAGGCGGCCCGCUGGGGCUAUUCUGACGCUAAGGUGCGAAAGCGUGGGGAGCAAACGGGAUUAGAUACCCCAGUAGUC